UCAAGCUUCUUGUUCUGAGUCUCUAUAUAAAAAGAAUUAGACUCAUGGACAGGAAUAAUCUCCAAGCUCAGAAGAAAAAAUACAAACUGAAAAACUCACUUCCUUAUUUCAUUUCUGCCCUUUUGACUUUCUAGAGCAGACUGGCACUUGCAAAUCUUUAGCUGGAUUUACAUUUUCAGCAAAUACAAAUGAGUUGUUACACAUCUAGAGGGCUGCAGGGCAAAAGAAAGGAGUCACUGAACCUGAAUCAGACGGAAUUUAAAAUGUGAGAGCACCCAGAAAGCUCCAAACCUGUGCUCUCAGAGGACUGGAUCUCAUGUGCCCUGUUUUAAGAUUCCUUCAACCUCAGGAUUCCUGAUCAUCUCAUCAGCCGACUUGUUAAGAAAACUGAGACCCAGGGAAGUGACUCACAAUUGUGUAGAAUUGUGAGGUGUCUUGACUGCUGGGCCAGGACUGAAGGACAUAUGGCCUCUCCUGGAAUCGAUCUCAGCUACAGAGAACCACCUUGCCCAAGGUCGCCACCCUCUCACCAAGGGGGUCACUUGGAUCUAAUGAUUGGUUAAUGCUGGGGGGGGUAAGGCUUGGCCCCCAGCCUCAACAGUGAUGGCGAUGGCUCCGAGGGUCAUUCUAUCUUCAGAGUUUCGUUUAGGUUGAGGGACGCCAUGUUGGGACUGCAUCGUAGCUCAGCUUCUCUCUGCCUGGUUCUGCUUCCUUUACUUUCCCGUCUGUUGUUAGUCCCAAAGCACACCCCAGUAAACUUCCUGCAUGUGAGUUUGUCUUAGACUGCUUACCAGGGUAUCGUAUGUACAACACUCAGGAGUAGAGAGUCACUGAAACAGCCCUAGCUCUGAGAGACCCCUCCUGACCAGCCAUCACCCCUCCCGCUCUUCCUUACUCUGAUUUAUUGUCUUUACAGAAUUUAACUCUCAGGUCUAUGGCCACACCGCCCUGAAUGUGCCUGAUCUUGUCUGAUUUUGGAAGCUAAGCAGGGUCGGGCCUGGUUUGUACUUGGAUGGGAGAAUUUAGUGCUUGAACACUGUUGCUGUAGAUUUCUUUAAUAAAUAAAUUUGACCACCUUCCCCACUAGACGGUAAGCUCUGUGCAUGUGGGGACCUAGUCUCUCUUGUUCUGCAGAGCCAAGAGCAGGGCCUGGUACCUGACAGGCACUCAGACAACACUUACUGAACAAGUGAAUGAACUUCCAGGCAGGAAGAGUCACACAUCCUCACCAACAACUCCUAGGGUUUUAGAGAACUAGAAAGUCUAGGAAUACAGAGGGUGCUUUCAAAAGUGUUGUCUGUAAUUGGAAAUGCCUUCUGUUUGUUUAGUGCUUUAGUUUUAUUCAUUUAUUUUUUUAAAGCAGUUCAUUCAAUAUUGAUAGCAACCCAUAUUAUCAUAAACCCCCAUGUGGUGGGCAGGAUAGAGGGUUGCUUUGAGGCACUGGGAGAGGAGAAACCGGCCUUGGUGAGUUGAGUCUCUUGCUCAGCCAGGCCCACUUGGAAAUGCUGGUUUCCUGCCUCCUGGACCCAUGGUCCUGUCUCUGCAUCAUCAGCAGAGGCAAACUCAAGUCAGUUUCCACUGAAACUCACCGAAUCUGACUUUCCCCCAGGAAUACUCACAUGGGGGCCAUUUUAUUGGAGAGGAUUUCAUAUUCACCACCCUGUGCUGAAUUCUAAGUGCUAGCUCAGUGCUUUCAGGUGAUUACCAUUCUUUUUCUUUCUUUCUUUUUUUUUUUAUGAGAUGGAGUCUUGCUGUUGCCCAGGCUGGAGUGCAGUGGUGUGAUCUCGGCUCACUGCAACCUCCGCCUCCCAGGUUCAAGCAAUUCUCGUGUCUCAGCCUCUUGAGUGGCUGGGAUUACAGGCGUAUAUCACCACGCCCAGCUAAUUUUUGUAUUUUUUAGUAGAGACGGGGUUUAUCACAUUGGCCAGGCUGGCCUCGAACUCCUGACCUCAAGUGAUCCGCCCGUCUCAGCCUCCCAAAGUGCUGGGAUUACAGGUGUGAGCCACCGUGCCCGGCCGAUGACCAUUCUUAAGAGUUUGGGAUUACUCUUCCAAAUGGAGAGGAUUCAGCCAUAUCUGAUAUUGGUGAUUUGAGAAGGGGGAUGUCUAGGAUUGAUGCUUUGAGAAGACAAUCUCAAUUUUCUUAGAAUAUGAUUCCUUUUUUCCUUGGAGGGUUAUUUUUAAGUAGCAGAUUCUGGGAACUCCCCAUGCCCUCCACCUCCUACUCCCAAAUUCCGCCCCCGCCCGCCCCCGCGGCCAAGUAGGCCUGGUCUCUAGAUGCCCAAGGCCAGGGCCUGUCACCCACAGGCAUGGAAAGUGUUCAGGUCCACUCAGACUGUGCUGCUAUCUGAAGGACUGAUAACAUACGAGGAGAAGGCCCUUUGGUCCUACACUGUGAAUGAGUAAGGGGCAGCUGCAAAAUGCUAAGAAUGCUGAGUGCAUUAAGUGAAGUGUUUCUCCCAGGUGUGCACAGGGUAUGGUUUCCAAGGGGAAUGCAGAUGCUGGAAAGAGGGAGGCAGCCACCCAGGCCGGCCAAGUCAGAGGCCCAGCAAGGAGAAAGUGAGCCAAGGCAGAUGCCGACAGAAGAGAACGAUAAAUCCGCGGCGCACUCGGCAGAAUGUCCACCACACCGCAUAAUUUAGCCGGGCAAUGCCGUCGGGAGUCCACGCCAAGUUAAUGGAAUAUUUCCUGUAAAUAUUAUUUUCCCUUCCUGUCUCAUCAUCUCAUUUCAUUCAAAAAUCUUUACUAAUCCGGGGGAGUGAAAGUAAUGCAUCAAUUUCCAGAGCCAAUGCCCCUGCUUCCGAAAUACCCUUAGGAAUCACUGGAAGCCACGGCAGCUGCUUAGGGACAGGGCGCAGGCCAUUUACUCUGGUUCCUUCCCCUAAUGCCUCAGAGAGGACCCCAUAGUGCUCCUAAUUGUGCAUUUAAGUGUACAUAAAAGCCCCCCUAAUUGCACAUCAAAUAAAUAAGUAAAUGCUGUCUGCUGAAUAUGUAACAAGGAUUGACGUUGCUAUUUCUUCCCAGGGGGGAGAUUUCAUUAAAUCUGGGCUGCAUUUCUAGUGAUGAUUUACAGAUAUUGAA